CUGCAGCCCAAGUAGGAGAGCACACAUUGGGAGGCUCAACCGCCAUUUCCCUCUUGGCUCUCUAAGAGGGUGGGCAGAUCUGGAUUCUAAGCCAUUUCACAGCAAACACGCGUCUCUAACCACCAGCAUUGGCUUAAUUGGGGCUGCUUCCAAACCAGGUCCUCUCCUGCCUGCUACUUCCUAAAAAAGAAGCAAAACCACCGAGGAUUUUGCUGCAGGAUCCGAGGAAACCCCAGGCUUUGUCACUUGAGAAUGGGGUUCUCCAAAGAAACCCACGUAAGUCACUACAGACUGUUGCCAUGGGGACAGCAUACCCUCACAGGCAGCCAAAGGCAAGACUGAGGAUGGGUCAUGUGACCAGACGGCAGCCAGUGGUCCCUGGCAGUUUGAGAGAGAGAAUCCAAAAGAUGGAGAGAGUGGAAGCAUCAAAAGAUAAAACACGCAAGAGACACAGGAGAAGAGUUCUGGGGACCACAGGAGAAAGGGCAGAAAGGACAUCUGGCGAGCACGUGAAGGAAAGACAUCGCGCUAGCACGUGGAGGAGAAGACAGCGGGAGGGGGGCGGGGGGAAGCACGCGGAGGAGAGGACAUGGGGCGAGCGCGUGGAGGAGAGGAUAUUGGACGAGCGAGGGGAGGAGAGGACAUGGGGCGAGCAGGUGGAGAAGAGGCCAUUGGGUGAGCAUGUUGAAAGAACAUCUGGCGAGCGCUUGAAAGCAAGAAAGACAAGCGUAGGGCAGAAGGAGCGAGCAUGAGCGAGCAGUGCGCCAAGAGAAUGAGAAGGAUGGAGAGCUGUUCCUAGCAAAACCAGGGGAAGGGGGGACCUAAUAAGAAGCAAUUAGAAGGAAAGUGAAAAGACUUAUUCUAGGAGUUUGGUGUUAAAAAGCAAAUGAAGUGGAAAUUUUGUAAGUGUUAAACUCUACCCAAAAACAGUAUGAGGGGAAAUUUUCACACAGUAUAACUUAAAACAAGUAAAAAAAAAAAAAGUAUAACAAAUUUGUGUUUGGAUGAUAGAGCAUACAAGAUCAUAAUUAAAACACUUUACCAACGCUAAUUAAGGUAGGUAGGUCAAUGUUAUUGGCCUGUUUUUUGGUUUUUGUUUUGUUUUGUUUUGUUUUGUUUUAAGUAAAAACAGCCGUUGGAGUGGGAGAGCUCAGAGGCCUCAGCAGGCUCACCCAAGUGUGAACGUCAGGAAAGAACCGGGUAGUUGGACUGCUCAGAGACAGCUCCAGGGAAGAGGAAGCGCCUAAGAAAAUCUCCCGGGCACAAAGGGGAAAUACAAAUGAGCAAAAGACAGAUAAGGAACAUAAAAUGUAUUGUUUUUCUGAGAAACAUUCAAGGCUUUCAACGCACCAUCAUGUUCAGCUAGCUGCAUCCUAGAAGGGCCAGCGGGCAACUCCACUAAAGAAAGAGAACUCUAGAGUGAACCUCAAACUCAUGCUGGUUCCUGACUUAGACCCAGGGCCAGAGACAUUCAGAGACCCCAAAGGAGACCUUAGAAGUCCAGGAAUCCUGUGCUAGCUCAAGUAGAUGGCACAUCUCGGUGGCCUCUUCCUGACUUCCAUGCUUCCAAGCAUGAUGCGUCUUUAUAUGUAGGUAGGACUUCCAACAAUGCCACUAAAGCUUUGGACACUGGAGUCUCCUGGAUGCCCCCACGUUCUUGUGUCACAGCCAUUAACUCUGGAUUACAAAGAUCUAGACUAUAACCCCCUGGAGAUCAGAGCAGCCUUCCUUACUCCUUGAAUACAACCCCCAUCAAGAGGCCCAUUCUGGAAUAAUUGGCAAAUAAAUU
rnacentral:lncRNA from 1 species